rnacentral:lncRNA from 1 species
AGUAAUAAAGUAGCACAAAAAAAUAAAGCCUUGUUUUUUUAAGGAAAAAUAAGAGUUAACCCCAUACGUAUUAAUCUUUGCAGAUGUUCCAAACAUCCAACAUCAGCUCAAGAAUCCUCAUGUUAUAAUCAUAACAGGGCAAUCAGGAAACAAAUGACCAUUAGAAUUAAAGGAUUUUCAACCUUGUUGAGUUAUGGUGUAGACAAGGAUGGCAAGGACAUGGCCAGAAAGAGAAUACAUAAAGGGAGUGUCAUAAUAUGUUAUGAAUAAAACAUGCAAAUAACAGAGAAAGUUUGUUCAUGUUCUUUCCUUCUCUUCAAUUCAACUCUAAUUCCUAUGAGAAUGAAAAUGGAACCUCUAGUCAUCCUCAGCAAAGAUGACUCGAGCCUAGUGGCAACAUUUCCCCCUUUGACAAUAGGAUUUAAACAUCC